ACGCAGGCUGAGACUUAAAGUUUUAUCGGGGGGAGGUAAAAACGAAAACUUUCUUCUCCAAAAUGGGGUUUGGUUUGUCAGUACCUUUCAGUCUGCCAAAAUUUUCACGUUUAAAUCGUGGACACCCUGUAUAAAGGGUUUUUACUAUAUGCACGUACGCGUGGUCGCGUUCUCUCGUAACACGUCAGUUCCACGUGCCUGACCUCAGCUGCCUGAUCUUCCGCGAGUUAGCAAACAGGCGACCUUCCUUAUUACGUAAUACGGCGCAUUUCCACGUGUAACGUGAUCUACUCGGAAAACUGCGAUUGUCGCCACGUGGAAGGGAAUCCCGUUCUAUUCUACGACGGACGAUAUAUCUUCGGUGAUCGCUACGAAUCUAUUUGCAUUUAUCUCGCCAGCGACGCCUCCCAUUACAUACAUAUGUAUGCAUAUUAAAACCAGUACGCCAACACCUCUUAGUACUCUGGUUUUUUACCGUUCCGCGUCUGACAGAUGCAUUUGACAAAUGUAACUACGUUUCACGACUUCUUCCAUUAAUCUUUUUCUUACUCUACCUCUGCUUUAGUUUUUUUCCUCUUCGACGAAUGUUUCGACUAUGAGCUCUGUUACCAGCCGAUAUACCACAGCUUUCAGAUUUUUUGCUUCCACUAUUGUACCAAGAAUUUGCAGCUGCUAAUCUCGCGAGACUAAUAUGUUUAUUCUUACACGCGUGUAACAUGGUUAUUAACGUAUUUAAAUGUACAUUAGACGUUAGUAGCUCUGGCGUUAAAAAUGACCGUGAUACCGUGAUUGAAAUAGGAGAAUAUAAAUGAAAGGAAUAAUAAUAAAUAGCAAUAAAAUUAGUGCAAAGAUAAUUGGACAUAGCACCGUAUUAACUCGAAAUUAAUUUGCAAUUUGUAUUUUCAGACUGAUCCAUCUAAUAACACAGAAUGGCUUGAAAUAAUUGAAGCAUUUGUUACAUAGAAUAAUUGGUAGAGUUUUGUCAUUCGAACCGUGCGAUGGAUUCUGAAAAUCGCUUAAAUCUUACAAAACACUCUAGCGUGUCGUUUAAACUAUUAAAUUCUUUUCAUUAAGACUUUGUAUCUUAUACGGUUACGGUCAUUUUCAGAUUAUUUGUCAAGUCCUCCUAUCUUCGAAGUAUUCGACUACAUGCAAUAAUUAAUAUUAUGCAAUAUGCGUGUUUUUUAAAAUGAUAACAUUGUUCGAAUAAAUCAUACGUGCAUGCUGUUAACGCUUACAUAACAUGUUGCUAAUACUUUCUUUGCAAAGGACUUUAGCAUAUCUUUAUCGAUACAAACUUAUAAUUUACAAUAUCAUUAAUUACUAUGUAAAUUUGUACCUAAAGAUUGCUAAUCUGUACCUCAAUUACGUUAGUUUAAUAGUUCAUAAAUUGUAUCGUAAUACAUUGACCGAUUACUUUGUAAAUUCGUACUAAAAAAUUGUUGAUCUAUUCUUAAAUUACGCGAAUAUGAUAAUCCGUCGAUUUUAUUGUAAUAUAAUACUCGUUAUUGGUCACGUGUCCCUGCCAUAAUCGACAGACGCGAGGAGCCAUGUAAAACGCCGAGAUUAAAAUGAUUUCACAAGUCGAAGAACGACAUAAUCAAUUUCCAUAAAUGGAUCAAUUACCGAGAUAUCAGUCCGACGGUUUGCGCAACUAAAUUGGCAUACAGUGUAACAGAGAGUUUCAAUUAAUGUGGCUUAUUUUCGGUCGCUUUCGUCGGGUCGUACGAAUUCCAAGAACGGUUGCAUUCGUUAAACCGCCGUACGAGCUGAAUAUGCCACCUAUAAUCAGUCGUUCACGUGGCUGAAACUUACAAGGACGAAGACCCGAUUCGUUUCGGUUACACCAGACUGGUCUGGUACGCGGUCCGUUUCUUCGUACGAGAAAAAUAUCGAUGAUGCAUACUAAAGUUAUGUCAUCUCGCUCGUCUAACGUGUUAUCCGCGGUAAAUGUUUGUAGGAAACGCGCAUACGGUUGCAGACGCUUCUUUCCGACUAUUCCGAUAGCCAGUCAAACUUUAUCGAUCGAUCGUAUCGAUCGUUAUGGCGUUACGAUCAUUCAUCGACGAUCAUCGAAAGUAGGAGAAAGUAUUUUCGAUCAGAUUACAGAUAAUUUUAGAAAGUUACCGUAAACGUAUCAUAGAUGGCAGUUCAACGUCGGGAAUACACGUGAAACAAAGUUCGGCCGGAUCGAUUUAUUUUUGCGUUCAUUGACACGCGCGAUUCAGCAGCACCGAUCGAUUUGGAUAAACUUGAAAUUUGAAUUCGAUCUUGAUAUCGUAGCCAAGUUGGUAACUCGCGAAGGGUGGAGGGAAAAAGGGCGAGUGCCAAUUGUAACGAAUUUUGAGGUUAACAUUUCUUCGUACUCUAUGCGCUCUUGGUCGCUGUAUCGCGUCGCGAAUUAAAAUUUUCUCGCUUUUGGAGUGGUUUUAAGAAAUUCAGGCGUACGACGAAAAACGAAUACUUUUCAUUUUUCAGAGUUUAAUGCGUUAUGUAUUGCCUAAAGUCGUAAGUGAAUAUAACGCAGAACAGAACGGAGAAUAAAAUGAUAUUUGAGAAAAUAUAAAGUCGUGGCAUUAUGAUAUUAAAAAACAAAUUUGACAUUCCCCAUUCUUCUUGUAAAUCUAUCCGAAUCAUUGCUUGAGAAGUCCUCGACAGAAAAUGAAAUACGAGGCUACGGAUUACAGGAAUACGCGUGGGACGACAAUAUCAGCCAGAAUUUUUCAAUGCAUAUUUAUUAUUCAGUUCCGGCAAAUGGAAAAUAAGACUCGGAUUCUGAUAAACGUGUAAAGAAAACGAGGCGAAUAGGACACGAAGAAUUGGAAAAACGGCAGGAGAGAGAAAAAGAGAAAGGCGAUUUUAUGGAUUUAUCUAGAAUGAGUCGAAGGAGGGACGGAUUGGAAUUUCUUUGGAGUUGCUGGCGUCGAGGGUUGUUGCCCUGAAAUGGUCGGCACGUGUAACCCUCCGGCGUCCUUGAGGUCUUUAGAUGUCCGCUAAGAACAUAGGAGAUUCUCACGGUCCUUCCUAAUUCGUUAGGUAGAGCCCUCUAGGAUGUACGAGCCCUUCUAGAAUAGUCUGCUAGGGUAGAUCGUACUCGGGAUACGCAUAGACGUUCGACGAGUCAUCUCGCUAAUAUUUAGGAAAUUUUUUAGUUUCUCCUUAAUAGAUAAGAAAGAAAUAGGCACAUUUGUAUAAUCCCAUUGUCUAUCGUAAUAUAUAUAAUAAGUUAAUGCGAUGAUGCAUGCGAUGAAAAAGAUCAUAAUAAUAUUUUUUCAUUCAUCCACUUUCUCCAGUCUCGCAUCUGAUUUAUUCGUAAUUUAAAUACGAUCAGCUGUAAAUUAUUUGCAAAUUAUUUGUCUUUAUGCAAAAUAGUCGAUGUACAUUGCGCUAUAGAGCACCGUAAUACUCGGGGUUAGAAGGUCGAAGAAAGUUGAAAUUAUAGAUAUUAAACGGAUAAAAGAGUGGAUAAUACGGGAAGGAAAAAAGAUUAUCUCUCUGUUUGGCCUUAAUGUCUCGUCAUCGAAUUUGCUUUCUCGAUGAAAUUGACACGUUAUCGCUUUUAUGGUCCUUAAUGACACCUACAUUGUUAAUGGCGUAACGCCCAAUAUCGUUCUUCAAAUGAUUUCGAUUACUAAAUAGUAAUUAUUCUCCAUAAUAUAAUCUUCUUUCUUAUAUAAUCGGUACAUUUUUUCGCACAUUUCUGUAACGUCGACGGAAAUUUUUUUUAAUAAAGAUAAUACUUGUUAUUUCGUUUACGAUGUAGUUGAUACAUAGCAUAUCGUAAUAUAAUUAUAGAAAAAAGAAUCGUUUCGUUUUUUGAACGACACGAACAUUGUUAAGGUGAAAAAUAUCUGUGAUAUCUAAUAGGAGAUUGGGAUAUGCAAUUCUGACGUUUUAAAAGACGGGAGAAAGGUAUGCGACUAUAGCGCAGAAUGCGGUAAAAAGAGAAAGUACGAAUAUCGAAUAUCCGUGAGCGUUUCUUAGCGUUCGUUCAUAGUAUCUUAGUAUCAAGGUGCUUUCCUUGGAUAUCGUUAGUCACGGCGAUUAACUCGUUAACUUUCGAGAUUAGGAUAGAUAUUUCCGGUAUAAGGUGUUUUUACGAUAAGUCGCUCUGAAAUGCAUAUUGCUGUUACGCGCGAUUGGCGUGGCUGCGCACGUCUGACUUCGUACUAUACGUCUGUUUACAUUCUAAAGAGCCACGUGCCGGUUAGCCAGCAAGGUGAAAUACCUAUCGUCUCAAAGGGAAAUACGUGACUCCGAGGACGGUUCGUUAAAAUUGUCUAAUUGUUCGAUAACGUUGUUUAUCCAAUGAAAAUUAUUCUAAAACCAUUCUAAGGUGAAAAAUCUCGUUAGAAAAAUGUAAUUAUCCGUUAAAGAAUGAAAUUAUCUCAUUCGAGCAGGCAAUUCCGUUUAAUUUCAUCGACUUCGGAAAACUUCCAAAAUUCUUUAUCGCUUCUAGGAAUCUGACGUUUUGUAACAUGUAUUUGGACGGUGUUUGCACACGUCCCACUACGACUUAUUUUAUUUAUCUUGUUACUUAUUUUUAUGUAUUUCAGUUAUUACUUAAUCUGCAUGGAAAAAAGUUCAAUUUGCUACUAUGUAUGUAGAGAAUAUACGGAUUAUCGUGACAUUUCACUUAUCUUUAUGAUGUAACAUAAAAAAGAAGCAGAAGAAAUACUAUACACGUGUCAGAAGCUGUAACAUGCUAAUGAACAUCGUACGGCACCCUUAUCAGGGUAAUAGUUUAUCAAAAUAACAUUAAUAAUAUAUUUAUUCCUAAGUUUUUUUUUUCAAUCAAAGGUUACAGCGAUAGCGAUACAUUUCGAAACAUUAAAAAGAAGUACUUUGCGUAUCGUAAUAUACCAAAAAGGACUACAAUUUCUCGUAUACUUCCAUAUAUUUAAUUUCUGCUGUCAUUUCCUGCCGUGUAAUCCCUCCCUCUUCAUUUUACAUUAUAUAUUACGAUUAUAAUAAUAUUUAUCAAAGGUAAAAUUAGCCGAAAUCAUCGUUUUUAUAUUAAAAACGUAUAACAGUCUAUAUGUACAUAUAUCGUAUAAUAAUUUUGUCGUUAUUUUCAUAUUUGCAUAUUUUCAUAAGAAACGGUAAUAACGACGAUAAAAACGACGUGACAAAGAUCGAACCUGAGCGUUAUUUAAAUAAAUACGUAUUUGUAAAAACACGAUUUAAAUAACGGCUAAAUGUAAUUUUGAGAUAAUUAAUGCACCGUUUAUUAACGCUUUACAUUUGAAUAAAUUGAUUCUGUCACGUC